AUGCAUUCAAAGAGUGCGUAACAGCUCACUGGUCGAGUGGACAUGCGCCGACAAUACACGGGGCUAAGCUGGACACCGAAGCGGCGGGAUUUUACCUAAGUAGAAUCGGUAGGGGAGCUUCCCAUGGGCGGUGAAGCCGCCGGGCGACCGGCGGUGGAGCGCAUGGGAGUGAGAAUGCUGGCAUGAGUAGCGAGAGACGAGAGAGUAACUCGUCCGCCGUGAACCCGAGGUUUCCUGGGCAAGGCUAAUCCUCCCAGGGUCAGUCGGGGGCUAAGGCGAGGCCGGGAGGCGUAGCCGACGCGCAGCAGGCAGACAUUCCUGCACCGCGCACGCGGCGCUACGACCGACGGGGCGACGGAUGGGGGUGGCUCGGCGGGGUUCUGGACGUCCCCGUGAUGGAGCGCGGCCCGCGGACCAGGGAAAUCCGGUCCGCACGAGGGCGAGGCUCCGGACGAAGCGAUCAAGCGAAGCGAGUGAGCCCGAGGUCCCUAGAAAAACCCCUAGGCAGGCGCGUGCGCGCCCGUACCGCAAACCGACACAGGUGGGUGGGUAGAACAUACCGAGGCGAUCGGGUCAACCAUGGUCAAGGAACUCGGCACAAUGGCCCCGUAACUUCGGGAGAAGGGGUGCCCGCGCGUACGUGAACGGACUUGCUCCGGGAGCGGAGGCGGGCCGCAGUGGAGAGGCCCAAGCGACUGUUUACCAAAAACACAGGACUCUGCAGAAGCCGCAAGGCGACGUAUAGGGUCUGACGCCUGCCCGGUGCCGGAAGGUCACGCGGAGGAGUUAGCGCAUCGCGCGAAGCCCCGAAGCCAAGCCCCGGUAAACGGCGGCCGUAACUAUAACGGUCCUAAGGUAGCGAAAUUCCUUGUCGGGUAAGUUCCGACCUGCACGAAAGGCGCAACGACUUGGGCGCUGUCUCGACCAUGGACCCGGUGAAAUUGCACUGGUCGUGAAGAUGCGACUUACCCGCGGAAGGACGGAAAGACCCCGUGAACCUUCACUGCAGCUUGGCAUUGGCCGCUGGUCCCGCGUGUAGAGGAUAGGCAGGAGGCACAGAUCCGGAGGCGCCAGCCCCCGGGGAGCCGCCCUUGGAAUACUGCCCUCGCGCGACCGGCGUCCUAACCCGAGGCCGUCGACCGGCUCGGGGACCGUGCCAGGCGGGCAGUUUGACUGGGGCGGUCGCCUCCUAAAGGGUAACGGAGGCGCGCGAAGGUCCGCUCGGGACGGUCGGCAACCGUCCUUUUGAAUGCAAGAGUACAAGCGGGCUUGACUGCGAGGCCCACAAGCCGAGCAGGUGCGAAAGCAGGCUCUAGUGAUCCGGCGGCCCCGAGUGGGUGGGCCGUCGCUCAACGGAUAAAAGGUACUCCGGGGAUAACAGGCUGAUCUUGCCCAAGAGUCCACAUCGACGGCAAGGUUUGGCACCUCGAUGUCGGCUCAUCGCAUCCUGGGGCUGGAGCAGGUCCCAAGGGUACGGCUGUUCGCCGUUUAAAGCGGUACGCGAGCUGGGUUCAGAACGUCGUGAGACAGUUCGGUCCCUAUCCUCCGUGGGCGCAGGAGAAUCGAUGGAGGCUGCCCCCAGUACGAGAGGACCGGGGUGGACGCACCUCCGGUGAACCGGUUGUCGACCAACGGCACGGCCGGGUAGCCGCGUGCGGCGCGGAUAACCGCUGAAGGCAUCUAAGCGGGAAGCCGUUCCAGGGAUUAGUUCUCCUUCCGGUAAGGGCCCAGGUAGACUACCUGGUCGAUAGACGGCAGGUGCAAGGACGGCGACGUCCUCAGCCGAGCCGCACUAAUCGCCCGAGCUCUUCCGGA
rnacentral:rRNA from 1 species